CGAAGGGGCCUGGAGGAGGUACCCUAUAUUCUGGUAGACACUGCCCUUUAACUCAGGCCUUCUCACUGAGGACUGGUUGUAAUUAGAAUGAAGAAUUGCAUGCAAAAGGCACAUUGUCAAAAAUCCAGUUUCCACUCUGAGAAAUGAGUGUGGCCCGGAAUAGAUCCAGAACAAGAUAAAACUGCAGGACGGGCCUCUGGACAGAGGCUGGGCUGGCCCAGAUCUAGCGAGAAGCAGUGUGAGCCUAUCUCUGGGCUCACCCGGGACAGAGCAGUGAAGGGAGGUCCUUUGCAGGCCACCCUGAGACACUGGACCGCCUGUGUCAUUUCAGUCACGUGACCAGCAGUAGAGCACUUCAGCAAACAACAGGGAACAAAGUGACCCACCCUGCAUCACCUUUUGAAGAGUGCCAUGCAAGAGAGCAACCUCUCUACAAAGGAAAUAUUAGGAAAUGAGAAGUCAAAAUAAAUCUUUCCUGUCCUGAAGUCGAUUACAACAUGAACGGACCUUAAACUAAACCUUCCGCUAAACAAAAGAAGCUGGUCACAGAAGGACAGCUCGGGAUUUUACUCCUUUGAAAGUGACUAGAAUAACAUGUUCAUUGAGAUAGAAGGCAGCAUGGUGAUUGGAGGGCUGAGGAUCGGGGAGCACCUGUUUAACGGAGUUUAGUUAGGGAAGACAAAAGCGUGCUGGAGAUGGAUAGUGGUGGUUGCCACACAAGGCGGCUGCACUCGAUGCCUCCGAACCAUAACCUCGAGAUGGUUAAAAUGACAAAUGGCACAUUGUAUGGCUUUUACCAGACUGCCAAAUAAAAUUUCUUUUCUCAGC